rfam:Bombyx mori DNA, contig: Bm_scaf81_contig32918, strain: p50T/Dazao, build 2, whole genome shotgun sequence.
AUCGCUUCUCGGCCUUUUGGCUAAGAUCAAAGUGUAGUAUCUGUUCUUUUCAGCUUAAUAUCUGAAAGUUCCCUCAUUGAGGGACCAGUAUAUUAAACUGAUUUUUGUAAAACGAUGGGAUGUUCGGGGCUAGACUUGCGCAAAACAUCACUUCUCAAUGUAAUGUGAUAUAACAUCACUUUUACAGACAGUAGACUUG